rnacentral:tRNA from 1 species
AUCUUAGUUACUGGCCGGGGGCUAGGCUUGUCUUGAAAAUAAGUUUUAAGUGUUCGAGUCACUUAGUAAUUUAC